AAAUUGAAGAGUUUGAUCAUGGCUCAGAUUGAACGCUGGCGGCAGGCCUAACACAUGCAAGUCGAACGGUAGCACAGAGAGCUUGCUCUCGGGUGACGAGUGGCGGACGGGUGAGUAAUGUCUGGGAAACUGCCUGAUGGAGGGGGAUAACUACUGGAAACGGUGGCUAAUACCGCAUAACGUCGCAAGACCAAAGAGGGGGACCUUCGGGCCUCUUGC
rnacentral:rRNA from 2 species